rnacentral:rRNA from 1 species
GGAGGAAAGCAGGGGAUCGAAAGACCUUGUGCUUUUAGAGCGGCCGAUGCCUGAUUAGCUAGUUGGUGAGGUAAAGGCUUACUAAGGCGACGAUCAGUAGCUGGUAUGAGAGGACGACCAGCCACACUGGGACUGAGACACGGCCCAGACUCCUACGGGAGGCAGCAGUGGGGAAUUUUGGACAAUGGGCGCAAGCCUGAUCCAGCCAUGCCGCGUGAGUGAAGAAGGCCUUCGGGUUGUAAAGCUCUUUCGGUCGGGAAGAAAUAGUUAUGGCUAAUAUCCAUAACGAAUGACGGUACCGACAUAAGAAGCACCGGCUAACUACGUGCCAGCAGCCGCGGUAAUACGUAGGGUGCAAGCGUUAAUCGGAAUUAUUGGGCGUAAAGGGUGCGCAGGCGGAUGUAUAAGUCAGAUGUGGAAUCCCCGGGCUUAACCUGGGAAUUGCGUUUGAUCAACGAGGCUAGAAGGGC